rnacentral:lncRNA from 1 species
AAAAAAAAAAAUAUGAAACUCUAUCGGACAAUUAUGACCGUACAAUGAAGUUUGGAUGGUGAUGAGAGUAGAUGAAAUCACUAUUCAUUUUCGUUGGGAAGAGCCCAUGGAAAAUGAUUCUGUGAGCCAGUGUGCUCACAAGAAAAAAUGAGCCCAACAGCCAAUCUGGACCGAUCUGACGAUUACGGAUGUCUGGUAGUAUUUGAAUUUUAACUUUUUUUCUAAAAAUCCAAAUCACUUGUAAUUUUAAGCGUGUGUUCUUCUCAUCAAGCCGCACCUAAUAAAAAUAUAUAUAAAAAAUAAUAAUUCGUAAAAAAUGAAUUGACCAAAAUACCCCCAAAUCUUUAUAGGAGUAUUUUGGUCAAUUAUUUUCAUGUAACAUAUUUUUUUUUUAUAUAUUUUUCAAAGGUUCAUCUAUUUUUUAUUAACACGUGUCUAAAAUUUCAAGUGAUUAAGAUUUAAAAAAAAAAAACCUAAAAUUCAAACACUAUCGGACAUCCAUGAUGGUUAAAUCAGCCUAGAUUCAAUCUGGACCGUUGAGCUCAUUUUUACUUGUGAGCCCACUGUAGAUUGUAUACAGUGAGACCAUUUCCUUUUGAUCCAAGAAGGUCACAAUAACUUACAACCAAUCGAUGUGAAAUUUGAUAGCUUAGGUGUGGUUUCUAUGGUUUUUAUAAGGUUGCAACCUUAGACAAUCCAAUUAAGGCGCACCUCCAAAUUUUAUCAUAAUAUAUAAUUUUGGUGUAAAACAUUAUUAAGAUUAUCUCAAAAUUUAUUUUAUUUUCAUAUUUAAUUAUAAAAU